GCUAGUAGAAGAGAGUGUGGUUUGCUGUCAGUUUAUGUUCAAGUAGCUUCUUUCAGUGUUGUUGAAAAUGGUCUUGGAGGUCCUUUGUUGUGCUAUUUGUUGUUAGCUUCUUUGACCGUUCCUUGAUUGCGGUAUUGUUUUCUUGCCAUGGCGAUGGUUUUUAGAACCUGAAAUAAAACCUCAACGGCCAUAUUAGCUAUGGCCGUGGAGGUUAGGGUUUUUUAGCUUUGCAGACUGAGUGGGGGAAGAAUUGCACAUCUCUGCCAAAAGUGCCUCGAAAGAGACAACGCUUGCUGGGCACGACUGAGGAAAAAGCAGAAGAAGAAAGAAGAAAGUAGAGAGCAUGAAAAUGUCUCCAGCUCAAGUCUUUCGGCUGUGAUGUGGCCUCCUACGCUGUGAGAAGACAGAAGACUCAGCUGUCAGCCUGCAGCAUUGAUGGAAAAAGAAGGAAUGGAACGCAAGAAUGAAUAUGAUCUCCAUCAAAAAUGAAUAUGAUCUCCAUCAAGAAUGCCCCUUCACCAAGUCAAUCACAACUCACCUUUACAUGAUAGAUUUUAGAGCAUUCUUGCCUGCUGUAAAUUUAGCCAUGGCAAUGGUUAUUAGAACCAAAAAAACCUCCUCAGUGGCCCUAUUUAAUCCUAGCCAUGGCUGUUGAUGGAUUAUAGAUUUUAUAGUUUUCUGCCUGGCAUAGUUUUAGCCCUGGCAAUGGUUCUUAGAACCAGAAAGAAAACUUCACUGGCUUUUUUAAAUGACCAGUGUGUGGCCAGUGCUUGGUAACAGAUUUUAUAAUUUUCUGCCUGGCAUAAAUUUAGCCCUGGCGAUGGUUCUUAGAACCAGAAAGAAAACCUCAUUGGCCCCUUUAAAUGACCAGUAUGUGGCCAGUGAUUGGUAAUAGAUUUUAUAGUUUUCUGCCUGGCGUAAUUUUAGCCCUGGCAAUGUUCUUAGAACCAGAAAUAAAACUUCACUGGCCCUUUUAAAUGACCAGUAUGUGGCCAGUGAUUGAUAAUAGAUUUUAUAAUUUUCUGCCUGGCAUAAUUCUAGCCCUGGCGAUGGUUCUUAGAACCAGAAAGAAAACCGCAUUGGCCCCUUUAAAUGACCAGUAUGUGGCCAGUGAUUGAUAAUAGAUUUUAUAGUUUUCUGCCUGGCAUAAUUCUAGCCCUGGCAAUGGUUCUUAGAACCAGAAAGAGAACCUCAACGGCCCUAUUUAAUGCUAGGUGUGGCCGUUGAUCUAUAGAAGAUUUUGUAGUUUUUGAAUCUCUGAGAUUGAGUGGAGGAACAAUUGCGCACCUGGUGCCAAUGUUCCUUGAAAGGGACAUGGGCAGAGGAAGAAGGAAAAGAACGAAGAAGAAAGAAGAGAGGAUGAAAAUGUCUCCAGCUCAAGACCUUCGGCGGUGAUGUGGCCUGCUACGUUGUGAGGCAUGUACUCUACACCACCUUAGAAGACAGAAGACUCAGCUGUCAGCCUGCGGCGUUGAAGGAAGAAGGAGGAACCGAAUGCAAGAACGAAUAUGAUCUCCAUCAAGAAUGCCCCUUCACCAAGUCAAUCACAACUCACCUUUACAUGAUAGAUUUUAGAGCAUUCUUGCCUGCUGUAGAUUUAGCCAUGGCAAUGGUUAUUAGAACCAAAAAAUCCUCCUCAGUGGCCCUAUUUAAUCCUAGCCAUGGCUGUUGAUGGAUUAUAGAUUUUAUAGUUUUCUGCCUGGCGUAAUUUUAGCCCUGGCGAUGGUUCUUUGAACCAGAAAGAAAACCUCAUUGGCCCUUUUAAAUGACCAGUG